GCCCCCGUAGCUUAAUUGGACAGAGCAAAGGCCUUCUAAGCCUGAGGUUGUGGGUUCGAGUCCCGCCGGGGGCG
rnacentral:tRNA from 1 species